rnacentral:rRNA from 1 species
ACUCCUACGGGAGGCAGCAGUGGGGAAUAUUGGACAAUGGGCGAAAGCCUGAUCCAGCAACGCCGCGUGAGGGAUGACGGCCUUCGGGUUGUAAACCUCUUUCAGCGGGGACGAAGCGAAAGUGACGGUACCCGCAGAAGGAGCACCGGCCAACUACGUGCCAGCAGCCGCGGUAAUACGUAGGGUGCAAGCGUUGUCCGGAAUUAUUGGGCGUAAAGGGCUCGUAGGCGGUUUGUCACGUCGGGAGUGAAAACUCAGGGCUCAACCCUGAGCGUGCUUUCGAUACGGGCAGACUAGAGGUAUUCAGGGGAGAACGGAAUUCCUGGUGUAGCGGUGGAAUGCGCAGAUAUCAGGAGGAACACCGGUGGCGAAGGCGGUUCUCUGGGAAUUACCUGACGCUGAGGAGCGAAAGCAUGGGGAGCGAACAGGAUUAGAUACCCUGGUAGUCCAUGCCGUAAACGUUGGGCGCUAGGUGUGGGACCCUUCCACGGGUUCCGUGCCGCAGCUAACGCAUUAAGCGCCCCGCCUGGGGAGUACGGCCGCAAGGCUAAAACUCAAAGGAAUUGACGGGGGCCCGCACAAGCGGCGGAGCAUGCUGAUU